rnacentral:tRNA from 1 species
GCAGUUGUGGCCGAGUGGUUAAGGCAAUGGACUAGAAAUCCAUUGGGGACAGGUUCGAAUCCUGUCAACUGCG